CCCCCAUUAAAAUCACAGCAAGCAGACAUGGAUGUCCCGGCUGGGCAGUCUCACAUGCCUAUUCCACAGACCAUCCCAGAUACUGGAGGCCAGAAGGCCAGGAUGAGGAUAUCACUCGUGCCCUGGAGGAGAGCGGGGACUUGGGUGGGUGAGUUUCCUCCCCAUGCUCAGGAAAGCCACUCUGUCUGGAGGAACGGGGUUUCUAGGGUGGUGGUUGCCAGGAAGAUGGUCCUGAGAUUUCAAAAAGCACGACAGAGUUUCCUUCCCUUCUCAGCAAGCUACAAGUGGAAAAAACUCUGAUUCAGAAAGAGAGGGUCCAGCCCUUGAGGAAAACCAGGCGUCUCCUGGAGGGCGCACCUGUACUGCAGGCCGGAUUGGAGAGGAAGUCUUGCCGUGGCGUGCCAGCUCACAUCCUCCAAGUGUGCCAGGGGCACGUCCCAGGGAAAACGGGAUUGCCAGUAAUCAGUGCAGCAUCUCCAGAUCAGAGCUCGGGAGGAUGGUGGGAAAGUUAAAACAAAAAAAGGUGUUGCAAGACUCUAGGAUUUGUGGUGCCAGAGUCCUCUUUGGGAUUAGAGAAAGACGGGAUAUGGCAUAUAGGGUUUUGGGCCAAAUAGUCACUCUCUAUCCAGCGGAACGACAGCCAUGGAGGGGAUGAAUACAGCGAAGUAUUUGGAAACUAGCCAAGCACUGGUGCAGGUUGGCCUGAGGAAGAAAUAGAUGCAAAGGAGAAAAAGAGAAAGUACCCUGAAACCUUCGAUUACAAUGUAUAAAAAGUCACAAGUUCAGACUUUGCAAGGAGAGGUAAAGAAUCACGAGACUAGUGCAAGAGUAAACAGAUAGGUGAGAUAUGCUGAAUGUCUCCAAGAAUUUCGGACGUUUGCCCGUGGAUACUUCAAGUGAGUUAAGGGCUUUUGUAUGUGGAGGUCUAGAUGGCGUAAGAGAAAAAGUGAGUGGGCAGAUGGGCAGCUGUGUAGAUUCCGGGCAGGGUCAGGAGGGUGGGAUGGACGUGGUCCCCCUGGCCUGACUCCCGGAAAGGCAGGGGAGAGGACCCGCGGCAGGUGAGAGCUGCCUUGCUCAGGCUCACCCGUAGGUGCUGUAAACCAGUGGUGUGUGAGUGGCUGCCAAGUGGGCAUUUUGGGGUGGCCUGUGUCUGUCCUAUGAGACAUAGAUACCUCUCUUAGCGCAAGGCAAGAUGGCACAGAGCCUCUGUACACUUGAGAAGACAGGGGAAGAGAGUGAGAGAAGUUUGCAUUUGAGAAAAGUGGCUUCAAAGUAAAGAAGUUCUCCCGUUCACCCCCUUUCCCUCCCAAAUGAGCACAUCUGGUGCAUUUCCCAGCUGGAGCGCCCUGAAACCCACCUGCCUCUCUCCGGGGUCCCCUUGCCUCUCCCCACACUCUUCCCAGGCACCAACAUCGUUCAUGUCCUCUUUGACUCCAUGUCUGUCCUCCUCCCCCCUCCCUGCCCCCAACCAGCUGCUCCCUGGUUCUUGUCAAUUCUCCAACCAUUAUAAUCCUCAAUCCUGCCUUUGCAGAACCCGCAGCCCCUGCCCCUGUCCAGGUCCUCCUCCCGUGAGCCUGGACUCCUGCAGAGUUUCCUAACUGGUCCCUCGGCUUCUAGGUGCUCCCUGCUCUGCCUCAGGGCCUCUCAAACGCCACCCUCGGGGGGGUUGUCUCAAGCACUCUUCAACCUAGGUGCUCCUUUGGUCAAUAAACCUUCAGUGGCUCCCUAUUGCCAACAGAUUAAAAGUCCAAACUCUUUAACUUAGCUUUGGAGGCUCUGCAGCCCACGGCCCCAUCCUGCACUUUCCUCCGCUUCUUAUCUACACAACCCUCUUAUUGGUGUCCAGCCAAUCUCCUCAGUUAUUCCUGGACGUACCACACACCCUUCCCUUUCCAGUCAAGAUGCAGUUCAAGCUCCACUUUUGUGUGGUGACGUCACCCACUGGGGCCGUGGUGAUGAUCUCCAGAGGUGUCUGUUCUCUGAGGCUGCCAGCCCCGUUGAGAUCCCAGGUCUCGGGCGCUCUGAUGCCUUCCCACUUUGUCUGCUUGCUUUGGAAGCCCGGGGCUUGUGACCGUGGGGUCAUCUUGGCCUCCUGGUUUCUGCCUUCUGUACAUCUGCUCUCUCGGUUUACUGGAUCACUCUGGGUAUAAGACGCAAUCAAAACUGAAUCACAUAAAAUAUUCGGGGGCAGUGUUUUGACUUUCUGCAGGAGCUGGGGAUGUUCUGGGGAUGGCUAACAGGUGCCCUCCCUUUCCCCAGCAUGCCUUAGACAUUCCUGCUUUUACAUAUUCUUUCUGCCCACUUGCCACUGGAACGUUCCCCGGGCCGCAGGUCAGCGUCCAGCCUCUUGCUGAUUCCACUCGUUUUGCCAGCCCUCUGUUGCCUCACUCUGCUCGCCCCUCUCAUCCUUUCCCCCAACCAAAACAUCCCAGUCUCCCUGCUUCUUGUGGGCAGUUACUUCAUCCUCUCCUCUGAGCCUGGGAAUGGGCCACCUCAGGCUCUUGGGACCUCACUUCUGCCAUGAGCACAGAUCACGCUCUCUCCCAUCCACCCCAGCAGAGAGCAUUCUUUCUCUCAGAAGGUGCACAUUUCAGACUUAUGUGUCUGUAACGUGAUCAGAGCCCUCGCUGGCCCUGCUUCCGGCCAGGCAUGGACUCCUGAUCCUUUUUGUGCUGAGUCAUUUUGUGGCGGGUCUUGUACUUGGGCAGAGGGGCAGUGUUCACUUUUGGUAGUGACAAUGACGGUAGUUUGAGGACCUGCCAGUAGGUGAAUUUGGGACCAUUUUUAGAACAGAAAAGAGAGUCAACCAGCACUUACUAUAAAAGCACCUGUUGAUCCAGACACCUCAAAAGUCUUGUAGAAAAGGAGAAGACAAAAGAAGAGGAAAAUGAAGCAAGAUAAGGAGAGGGUCUCCCAGUAUUCCCAAAGGAAGAGAAAAUCCAUCUAUGCAGCAAAAGCAGGGGUGAAGCCCUGAGCUGGCUGUCCUGAGUCUCUGGGCUUCAUAGGAAAUGCUGUGAUUUCCUUCAUUCACUCAGGACACAAAGUGGCUGAGUCCUACUCUGUGCCAGGCACUGUUCUAGGAACUGGGAACACCCUAGCGGACAAAGCAGACUUGGCUUCGGUUUCCGUGGAAUUUAUCACAAGCACAAGCCAGAGAGCAAGCAAGGAAAAAUCCUGGCAUUGUGCUCAGAGCUCUAAGGGGUGACGGAGUGGUGGCCUCCUGACCGGUGUCGACCACAAGUCAGGCAGUGGGCAGCCCCCCUGCUUGAAGGGACAGGAAGAGACUUGAGGGGAAUGAGGGAAGGAUGAAGGAGGACCAUGAGUGAAGCUCGGGAGAAAUGGCCAGCAGGUGGCAUGUGCGUGAGUCCAUCAUGGGGGCUAAUUUGCUGUCAAAGAGCCUGGCACUGAUUUCCCAGUGUCAGACCCCCUCUUUGGGGCAUGGCUACCUGAUUCCUAAGAGAUCUUCAUGGCUCCGUGCAAAGAAAAGUGGGGGAGAAGAGGGCGAUGAGUUUAAUGGUUCUAACUUGCAUUUUUUAUUUCAGCUAGAAGAGACCUCCAGCAUGGACACAGCUGAUUUCAAGGACAAUCUGCAUCUGGGUCCAGGUUCAUCCCAGAAAAGGGCACACUGAGGGCUCGUGGCAGUGUGGGGAGGGGUCAGGUUUGUUUCUGCCCAGGGGUCAGCCAUUUCAGCAUCCUUGAAAGGUGACUUCCAUGAUUCCUUCUGGGGAGCUACCUGCCAGGAGUUCCUGGUGAGGCAGGACUUAGAGGAUGGUUAUUUCUUUGUAGGAACGAUUUGAGGCCUAGGAUGAUGUUAUCAUCUUCUGGAGAAGACUUUUCUCUGCUUCAGACAAAUGCCUGCUGGCAGCACCAGACUGGGGCCACCAUAAUCCAAGUUCACAGCUUGAGGUCCCCUGAGUCAACCCGAUGACACGAAGCUGAACUGCAAGUCCUCGGAGGGUUGGCUUAAUUCGAAAUCACCUUUGCUCUGAGAGUAUAACCCUUCGGGGUUAAUAAAGGAGGUGGGGGAGGCCUCAUCAGGACCCCCAACUUCCGUGGGUGCUGGGCUGUGUCUUUCGUCUACAAGCCCAUUGGAAGCACGGCUCAGUUUCUAAGCAGAUUUAUCUGGAUCCACCAGUGCCCUCAAGGCAAAAGCAACUUUGGGAGCUGGGUUUACUGUUCUGGGUUCUCUACGACUUUGCCCAGCAAUUUCUCACUAUCUUGUUAUAUGCCUUUAAGAAGAUUGUUUGUCUUAUGAUAUACCACCCUUAAAAAAAAAACAACUGUUUGGCCUAGUAGGCCAUUUCCAGAAGCGGAAGUCUUAGUUACUUCUCUUGGUGCCUCCUUGCCUGGGGCUUCUCGCCAGCUUCAGAGAUGCCCACUGUGGGAAAAUGGAGUCCAGCAGAGCAUAGGGGAAAGAGCAGAGGGAGGUUGGCUGGGCCCUGGGGUGGGGGAAGAGGCUGGAAGAGUUCAGAGAUACAGUCUCAAGUCAGAGGCCUGCCCACCUGCCCAAGAGGAUUUGGAGGGUCCAGCAUCUGGACCACCCAAGGGAGCCUCCAGAACUGGCAUCUUUAUUCACUAGCUGCCAAGUUUGUGUUUCUCUAAGGGGCUUUGGCGGCAGGGAUCGCUCAGGAGACAGGUGGAGUUGCAAGUGCUGGAGGGGCCUGCAGACCUCAGAGGAUCAGAGAGGAGAGACCAAAUUGCCUGCAGAUAUAAAGAGCCGACGUAUUUCUGGGGGACUCCCACCUAAGCCUUUAGGGAGUGUAUUCUGUUUUUUUUCCCCUGAACUUAGGCAUUGUUAUAGAAAAAUAGGCCCAAAUGGAAAUCCAAUUACAUUUAUAUUUCUGCAAAUUCCCUCCAAUUCUCUUUUCAUAUAUUUAUGUAUAUAUCCAUUUAUGUUAUUGGGGUCAGCCUUGGUCAGCUUGUGCCUUCUGACCUGUGGCCUCUUUCUGCCAUGUCUCAUAGGUACCUGUGCCAAUGACCCCUUAUUUGGCAUGGGACACAUUGGAUUUAGGUCUCUCUUUUUAUAAAUAUCUAAUAAGGAGGAAGGGAGAAGCAAUGGGGGAUGCUCAAUCCAGUGGGUCUAGAGGACAGCAGGGUGCUCAGGAGGCUGGAGACGAGCUCAGGGAGACACUGGGACAACAGCUGAGUACACGAAUUUUUCUGUUUUGAAUGAGAUGCUGUCUCUUUGCAAUGUUAAGUCAUCUCUACAAACCCCCUCCUCUUCCUGCCAAUUUACAGAAUCCUUUGUAGGGCUGGGUUGUUUGAAUUUGAGUUUCCUGCCAUCUCUUGGUUCUACAGUGUUGCUGAGGGCAUGGAGGGAUUUCCUGAGGGACGUACGUUUCUUUAUCUAACCAUUCUCCUAUUCUGGGACGUUUACGUGGCUUCCCAGUUUUCAUUGCUAUCAUUAAUGCUUUGAAAAACAUCCUUUUACAGAUGUCUUAUGAUUGCCUUCUCAUAUCAUUUCUAAGGAUAGAUUCCUGAAAAUGGGAUCAUGGGGGCAAAGGUUCUUGGUGUAUAUAAUCAUUGCUUUUGUCUUUUCUAGAGAAUUCGCACCAGCUUGCACUCCAAGAAGCCGCAAAUGAUAAUGUGAGUCUCGCCCAAGUGCCCCUGUUAAUGUGCCUUGUCCUGAUUUCACACUUCCCAGCCCUCAUGUAAGCCAAGGAGGAGUGAGGAAUGCUGAGGGACCUCCAGACUUCGGAGGAGCAGAGAGGAGGGAGCAGACCCAAGAAGAUAUGCCACCAGGCCAUGCUCAUGGCCCCUACGACAGAAGUCUUUCUCUUUUUUCUAGUGAUUACCUUGGGCUUACACUUUGUCAGUUUUGGAUACCAGGGAAACCCAGGCUUCCGCAUUUGCAAAGGCUGAGGGAGGGCCUUGUGCCUCCUCUGGUCCUCCCACAGGCUGUUGGGAGAAGCAGGCCUUUGCUCAGUGAGGUAGCCGGCCUCUCCAGUGACCUCCUUGGGCAGCUCGGCUGGCCUGGACCCUCUUCAACUUCAUAAUUCCACAGGUUUGUAAGGAACCAAUCUUGAUCGAUUCAUUCAUUCAUUCAUUUCACAAAUAUUUACUGAGCACCUACUGUGUGCCAAGUCUUCUUUUCGGUGCUGGGGACAUACCAGCCUACAAAACAGACCAAACAUAGCCCUGCCCAUGUAGAUGUCCCAUUCUCAGGAAUAUUUUCCUGCAUGAGGACCCGUUUAGGAAUCUGUCACUCUUCUAAGUCAUCAUAGUAGGAGUUCCCUCUCCUGUGCUACAAAACUCCUCCUAUCCCCCAUGGUUACUUGUCCCUGAACAAGGGGGGCUCCCUCCAGGACUGUAUUUGCCAGCCGCCCGGGGUGCAUCCAGUUUCUUUAGCUUUUAUCGCUAGCCUUUUUGGGCUGGGCAGAGCCCUCUGUCAGGUUUGUAUCUGCGGGGUAGGGCAAGUUGCAGGACAAACCAGAGCUCAGUGUCAGCACGGGCAGGCUUUCAUCAGGGGAGGAAAGCGGGGCUGGGCUGUGAGCCGGUCAGAGGCGGCAGGUGGCGCAUUGCCCUGGCUGCCCAGAGGUCAGCUGAGCAAGUUGCGGUACAAGUUAGUAUAGCGAGAAUGUUGGGACCUGAGGUAAUGACAUUCCUGGGGUCUCGAUGUCUAUCUGCAGAGGACUGUGGCGAUUGAGAAAAGACGUGAUCCACUCACAGUAUCUGCCGGGAGCAUUCAUUUGCAUUUCUUUCCAUUACGCGGAUUAAGAAAUGGGACGUAUAACAUAUUUGCAUGAUUGCAAUUUAGCACUUCUCAAAACAUGUAAGUGACGGAGCUCUGUUAAGACAGGCCUGUCACCAGCGAGGCUGCCGUGCCGGGGGUGUCUUCUGGAUGCGCCCAUCCUGCCCAUCCUGGGAGGGGGCCCACGUGUCAUCUGCAGCUCGUGGGGUCACAUUAUCACAUCAGCAGUGCUCCAGGCCACAGAUCUACAGAAGUCCAAGCUCAGCUGUGUCUUGCCACCAGUUUCUGGAAAGGGCCUGCUCACUGUGCCCUGGCCUCAGACUGCUCUUUGAAUUCAUGCCACCCAUGUUAACCAAUGUGAAUCACAGCCAUUUUCCCCAGACAAGCCAGUCCCACCAGACAUUUCUUGCUCUCUUCUGUAGACUUGGCUGCUUCAACGAGGGGUUCACACUGAGCCACAUACAGUCUUCGGAAACAUCACCAGUGCCUCUCCCCCGUGCCGCAUCCCUGCUUCUUCCCCCACUCCCAUCCCAUUAACAGAUGAAUGUCCUUCUCUGUAGGUCUGAGCUUGCAUGUCCGAACCCUUAAGGGUGCCCAACAGAGUAAAGGGUUUUCCAUUCACCAAAGCAGCCCCUCUGAGGAGAAAAUGGAAGUGAUGAUUAGAACUUUGGGGUGGGGAGGGAGAAGGUGGCUGGGGUGCUCAUGUCUAGAACACCUUUCCCAGGAAGCGGUACACCUGUACCUAUGACCUGCUAAGUCUGGCUGUGCGUCCAUCAGCACUAGUCCUCUCUGAUUGAUGGGGAGAGAUGGUCUGAUGGGGGCAGGGCACCAUCCUCUCCCCCUCAGAAGCCAGUUUCUGGGGAGUGGGGAGAGGUCCGCUUAGGUCUGGCGAAGCUCCUGUGUCCCAGAGUUAGAGAUGGACAGGUGAGGCAAGAGUGCUGUCGUGCCUUCCUUGAGGCAAGAUGUCUUCUUCUGCAUAAGAGGGCAGUUGGUGUGUCUCAAGGGACAUGCUUCUCCAUCUGCCACCCUGAAUAAAACAGUGAAUGAGGGUCCCUCCAGGUGUAGGCAUGUUUCGGGAUAUUUUAACGGCAACUGGGGAGAGGGUAUGUCUCAGGUUCUACGGUGUGCAACGUGCCAACACACGCUUUAUGUGUGUUUUAAAAUGUGAGCUCUGGAAGCAUCCCAGAGGGGUCACGAAGACAUCUUAGCAGCUGAAGGAGGGGAAGCAUCUCUCCCCAGCCCAGAUCCCCCCUUGCCUUCCUACCAGGUACCCCCUUGCCUUCCUACUGGUCAUGGAUGGCACUGUGCUGACCACAGUAGUUUUCUUCCUAAGACACAAUUGUCCUGCAGAGGAGAAUUCUAAGGGUGGAGAAAAUCACCAUCCCUCCUUCCAGAACUCCUUGGUUUUUCUCUAUAUACCACAUUCGCACCGUGUCAGUGUCCCCCAGCGCCUGGAGAAGGAGCUUGGCAAGCAAGAACCAGCUGGGUCACUGUAUUUGAUUGCUUUUUGGGAGCCCAAUAAAGGCUCCCUUUGUUGGAGGUUUUUAGGAGGUCACUUGAAACACACAUACGGCUCUCAACUUCUCACAAUUCCAAGACCAGGUGAGGCCAGGGGUCCGGGAGUCCCGCUCAGGCCCCUGCGCCCCGCAAGCUCAGCAGACUUCUAUUCAUGGCUUCAGUCAGAAUCAGGCAAGGUGGCCCCAGAGCUGAGAAGCAGCUGAGUCAAGCAGGAACAAAGGGCAGUCCUACAAUAAACCAUUGAUACUUAUCUAUUAAAUGGCAAAGUCACUGGGGCAAGGACUGGCUGCUGCUUCCAUUGUGUGUCCGGUUCCCUUUCCAGGACUUGGUCUACAUGGGGAGACUCUCAGGAGAUGUUUGUUGAAUUGGAAACCAAUCCUCAAUUAGAUACCUCCUUAGAAGGAAUUUCCAGUCUGCCUUCAAAUUCAAAUGGAGGUACACAAAGCUAAGGGUGACACUCCAAAAGAUUUUAGAGGAAGUGUGUGACCAUGUACCCUAUCAUUUUAAUAGCCACUUAAUUUUCUCUUUCUCUAGCUUGUCAAUCCCCAGAAUUGUAAGCAAUCGAGUAGCUAGCCACUUAGGUGAUUGAUAAAGGAAAACUCAGGUCUUUGAGAUUAUGCUGGGGUAGGUGAAACCCCUAUAACAAGUAGACCCAAAAUGUGCUGGCUCAAACACGAUAGACACUUAUUUUUUUCUCACAUUAUAGUCCAGGGCAGAUGUUCUAGAUUGUUGGAAUCAGGGAAGGAAGUUCUGCUGUGUGUAUUCCCUCAGGGACACAGGCCAAUGGCUGUGUCAUAUUCAACAGUGGCUGCCAAGGUUGCUAUCAUGGUCAUCGUCAUUCCAGGUCAUGGUAUGUGGGAAAACAUGGGAAAGAACACUUGGGAGGUUGAAUGGGCUACGUGGAAGUGGCAUGCACCCCUUCUGCUCACAUUAGAAAGAAUGCACUCACAUGGCCACACCUAACUUCAUGACUGGGGAAUGAGGUAGUAGCUGGUUAACCAAACACCUAGCAAUCUUGGAAAUGGAGGAUGAAAUUGGGUAGGAGUAAAGAGACUUACAGAUUACGGAUUUGGAAGAAAUUUAGAAAAUUGCUUUCUCCUUGUCCAACGGGCAAUCUGGCACAAGCACUAAUCUUCCUGUUCAAAGUGCUCCAUGCCCCCAUUACAUAUCUGAGCUGACUUUCUGAUCUAGAGCACUAAGGAAUACUAAGCAUCAGUCUACGGGGAGACAACAGGAAUGGUCUUUUCUUUCAAAACAUUCUUUGUCAUUUGACAAAAAUGAUGACACAGAGGAGGGGGAAAUUAAAUCUGGAGAAGCUGCUUGCAUGUGGAGCCCAUUCUCUGUGGCCCUGGGAGACUGGAAUUGUGCUGUUCCCAUGCUUUAGUUAUCCUAGGGCUCAUAGAAUUGUGCCACAUCACUGAUGACAUCACAGGAUCCUUGGAAACCGUGGUGACUUGAAUUGCAAUUGCUGCUUCCAGCUGAAUGUGGUUGUGUUUCUAGAAGGAUAACUAUUUUUUGUGAUUAAGGAGAAAAGGCAACAUGGACCCACGGUUGGCUUUAGCAGGCUUCCCUGUAUCCUAAUUCUUACCUCAUGAAUAGUCUUUCAGCUUGGCUGACCUCACUUCCUCAUGUUUCUUCCCCUCCCACACCCCUCCGCCAUCCCAUUCACUUUCUUACACAGAUCUUCCAGUUUUGGGCUAGCGGUAUCUUUAAUUGUUCUUGGAAUUGCGUAUGUCUAUCGCUGCCCUUGAGCUCACAUUCCACCUCCCUGUGCAGACCACCCCAGUCAUCCCGCCCUGCCCUCACUCUCUCCAUUCCUGUCUUGUUCACUGGUGGGCACUUAUACGUUGCUUGGAUUGUUGCAUAUAUUUUUUUCAAGGUUAAUGGUGUCUUCCAAGUGACACUCUAAGCUUCUUGCGUGUUUGGAAUUUGUCUUGCCUUUGUCACUUCCUUGGGCUUGAGCGUGGUGUGGGGAGCAUUCUGUCAAUGCUCGUGGAUGAUGAUGGUUGUGUAAGAACUUGGGAGGCUCUGCAGUGACUUGAGCCAGAGACCUUGGAUGGCAGGGAUUGACAAAAUCCCUCUACUGGGCCAGUCUCUCAGCAAGAGGAGAGGACAACAAAAGGAAAGUCUCUCAGUCUCCCUUAUCAACAGUGAACCAGCUCCGGCAGGGUCAGCUCCUGGUGUGUAGCACCCUGUCUGGGCAAGGCGAGGGUGCUGGCCAUCUGGGCGAUGUCGUUGGGAGGCUUUGGUUGUGAUGUUACUGAAAACACUCAGCUCAAUGGACAGGACACCAGAUUCUCAAAGAGAUGGGGAGGCAAGACAAAGAAAGGAUGGUGCCCAUGGACCGCAGCCAGGAAAGCAGGGCUGUGGGCGGGCUUUGGGCCACUCUGCCCACCUCUCCUGCUCCAUUCUUCCAGGGACCUUUCAGAUGAUGCUUCUCGCCAUGAUAGAGUAGAGGGUGGGACAGGGAGAAGGAAUCAGUUAUUUCUCGUGUCCCAAGUGAAAGGGUGUCAGAUGAGCUCAGUCUCACUUUCUUCAUCAGGAAUUUAAAGGACUCCCAUAAAUAACGGCCCCUAACCACUAGUUAUUUAGGAAAUGAGUGACAAGCUCGGCUCUAUUAGAAACUCAGGGUCCUGGAGCCCAGGAUUCCAUGAGUGAUCGUCCCACAAGUUAAAUAGUGUUUCUUUAGCAGGGAGGAAGAAGGGUAUAUGGCAUCUGGAAAUGGGAAAGGCUUAGAAAAUCAGAUGCCUGUGGUUCUGCUGUGCACAUUGACUUGUGACCUAGAAAUAGGACAUACGUUAAAGCAGGGAAAUUCCCUCUUCUCCCACCGUCUUUCCCACAGGCACUGGCCCUUCAUCCCCACCCACGGGCCAUGAGAUUUGGCCUCCUCAACCUACAAAGUGACAGGAUGUAUGCAGGGGUGAGUGUUGGAAAGACGAGAUUCUGGAAUGACAUCUAUAGAACGGACUCUGCUGUGAUGGUCCAUGUUGUGCCCUUUCUGUGGUCCAAAUUCCACAGCAAAAUUUCCAUCGUCUGACCCUCCUUCCUUGGCAGCUCUGCCAGGGCCCUAGGUGUUUUCUAUGACAUACGCAUCACCAAUCUGUUCUAAGUCUGAUCGUUUCUCUCUAACACCUAAGAGGAGGCUGCCAGGGUGCCUGGGAGUAUGAGGGAUACCAUCCAUCUCUUAGGGCAGCUCUUCCUAAACUGCCAGCUGCCACCCAAUAGUGAGCUGGGAAGUAAUUUAGCGGGUCUUGAACAGUGUUAGAAUAAUAAUGGGAAACCUCAGAGUACGCUGCACAUAGUAAGGUAAAUAUGGUUUUGUGAAACUUAUGUUUUCUCUGUAAGUACAGCAAUGGGUGUAAUAGGUGCCCACGUAAGGUGUAUUUCUUACUGUGGUCCUGGUUAAAAAAAAUAUCUGAAUAACUCUCCUGGAGGUCUCAGCUGAUCCUGACUAAUCCUGGAAUUACGCAGAGUGAGAGUGAAGUGCAAAAUGGGGGGAAUAAAAGGUCCCAAAGAAAGGGGUGACCAUUUUUAUUUGCUUCCUGGACGAGGUAUCGAACACCUCCUCUGCCCCUUGAGGAUAUCAGUCCUGGAACCCAGCCUCUCUGGACCUGGGGGACCCCUGUGAGCUUUGUGCUCCCAUCACUUCUUGAAGCAGACCCUGCCAAGAGUACCUGGGUAGGAGGAGCUGUCCUUUUGGAAUGUAAUCAAAAGGGAUUCAGCAGUUAGCUGUGAAACGGUAAAUGACACGUCCAGGGCUUGUCUUGAUCCCUAGAAUGCCUGUGAAUUUCUGAGAUGCACAGGCUGGAAGAAGAGAGCCCUGUUGCAGCCUGGAAGAAAGGAGACAGAUAAGGUUGGCUCACCGCCUCCUGCCUCCCAGUUCUCACCCCACCCUCCCUUCUUGAACACCCCACUUCCUGCAGGGGGAGGGAGAUUGGAACAGGUAGCCCUUGGGGGUAUCUGGUACCCUCUUCCUAGUAGGUCAGACCCACAGUCGCCUGGGAAGACCCUAUAGAGAGAGAGAAGCACUGGGUCCUCCAGGACAGGAGAUGAUGGUUUAUGUCUAAGAGUGACAGGUGUGCUUGCUACAAUAUACAGGAGUAAAAAGCAAAGAGGAGCAGACAGAGGCGGGCAUCAAGGGAGGAGGGCUUGGAGAGAUCCCUAAGAAUCAAACAGGAGCAACGAGAGAGGCCUAGCAAGAGAGGGAGGAUUUCUUAGUGUAGGCAUUCCAGCAGGAACCGGGGCUUUGUUAUUUUUCCAAACUGAAGCAUCUGCAGAAAAUCAGUUGCCAUAAUCUGCCCAGCUAUGGCUAAAACAUGGCUAGGAAACAUUGCCUGAGGUAAUUUCUAGAAGAGUGUUCUUCUUCCAAGUCUUCAAGCUUGGGGCUGGGAAUUUAUUUUCUGUUCCUGUUUUUUUUCUUUUGGUUUGCUCAUUUUUGAGCCAGAAGAGGUCUUCUCUGUUUGCGAGAAGAUGGGGAGAGUGGAAAUGUCCGCAGCCAACUUCCUCUCAGAUUUCCUCCUAGGUCUCAGUGAGGAGAUCUGAUAGGGAGGGAUGGGUCCCUGAAGCACUUGUCCAUGUGAGGGGCAGUGAGGUGUGCUUGGACCAGAAAGAACUCUCUGAAAGAUUAGCACCCAGGGAUGCAUCUAUAUGGCUUCUGUUUAUCAUGAUCCCCCACCCUGCAACCUUCAAACUAUUUCUUAGGGUGCUACACAUCCCAGGCUCUAACAGUCCCUCUGCAUCCCUAAAUGUGAGGGCUGUUCAGAGUUACGUUCUUGGGAUGUGUGACUACCAUGUAAUCUACCCUAAUGGAAUCUUCCCCAAAUAGCUCCUUUCAAAACUGAAACACAGAUUAAACAAAGAGAAGAAAAACCAAUCCUGACAAACAGCUUCUUCAAGGGAAGCCCGUCCUCCCUGGAUUGGAAGGUGGGGAUGGUGGGCAACCCUGUUUCCGUCUGUCCGGGGCCCAUGGCUGCCUGGACCGUCUUCCAGACAGGUGCCAUCUAGUCAGGUAGAAGCGCACAUGACCACUAAGACCUGAACUCCUUCUGGCUGCUUAGGGGUAUGAGUGCUUUCUCUGGGUGAACAGUCCAAUCUGGAGAGUCAGAGGAAAGCUGGGGAGAAAGCAGCGGUGGUCAACCAGCAAAGCCAAAAACCUUUCAUGGUUUCCAUUGGUUCGUUAGGUUAGCUCUUGAAGGCUCUUUGCUCUUCUGACUUGAACCUCUCAAUAUUUCCUAGGACUUUUCUCACAAUCCAUUGUUCCCAUUGGCAGUUCAGAUGAUGCCCUGUGCACAUCCAUUUUCUCCUCUCAGCCAUAGCCACCACUCCCAUCUUCUGAGUGUCACCCUUUCCAUCCAGCCCUGGUAGGGACCGGCUUGUCUUUCUUUUACAAGAGUUUCUGUACAUUACUUACGCUGGGCUCUGAUUCCAUCGCUACUUCUUGUUUUGGCUUACAUUUGAAUCUUGUUUUUUUAAAGCAACAUCUUCUGAUUAUAAUUUCUACUUUUUGCAGAAAAUAUGAGCAAUACAGGAAAGUAUAAAAAGUAUCAUUCAGAAUUCCAUCCUCGGAGAUAGCCAUCCUGUACAUCUUGGUGGAUUUGCUGCCUGGCUUUUUUCUAUGUAUGUAUCUAUUAUUUGUGACAGUUUAUAAAAUUGAUAUCAUGCUGUCAGUGUAGUUUCUCAAUUUGCCCAGUUAAGAUUAUAACACAAGUAUUUUCCCAGUCAAGGCUCUUCCCAAAUCUGAUAUUUACUGAUCAUACAAUAUUCUAUUGAGUGAGGGAGAACCGUAAUUCAAUUAUUCAUAGUUUCCGAAAAGGUUGUGCUCAUUUGCACUCCCAUUAGCAGCCUUUGACAGUGCCUGUGUCACUUCAUGUGACAGUUUGGGGUCUGAGAAACAGAGAGCAGGUGGACUUGGGAGGGGGCGUCCCAGGGAAUGGGGGAGUGGGGAGGGAGCAGGGCACGCUGGAGAGCCGACUGACAUCUGUGAAGGCCAGAGAGGGCAGGGUUGGGUAGAAGCCUCUGCUGCAGGCGACUACUGCUUGAUUCUGGGAAAGUUUUGGGCAGGGGAUGGGGAAUCCCCAAACCAAAGUUUCUCCCAGGAGGAAUUCCAAGACAGGCGGGAAUGGGCUAGUAUGAAGACCCUCCUAACUCUCAAGCUUUGGUUGGGACCCUCUGUGGUCAUGAGUGGGUGGGAGCGGGCAGCUGACACUGUCAGUCAACUCUGCUUCUUGGGGGCUGGUUCUCAUGAAAGAGAGCCGAGCAGCACCCCUACCCUGACCCAAGGCCACCCCACUCCACCUGAUCAACUGUGAAAAUAGUUAAAACACAUAAUAAUUAACUGAAAAAAAUGGUCUCGUUUUGCUGAUUUUCCCUUUUCUGAUUAACCUUGAGAUCAAACAUUUAUCAUGAAUUUGGUUAGACACUUUGAUUUCUUCUAAAGAUUGCAUGCCUGGGUUUUCUGACCAUGAUGGUUUUCCUUACUGAUAUAUAAAAGUAUUUGCUGUGUUAAGCCUGUUAGCUCUUUGUUCAUUUCCUUCAAAUAUUUUUAAUCAUUCUGUUGCUUCUCUUUAUGUUUUACGUAGGAUGUCUCUGAUUUUUUUUUUUUGGUGGCUCAAGAUAGCCCUGAGCUAACGUCUGUUGCCCAUCUUCCUCUUUUUUUGCUUGAGGAAGAUAGCCCUGAGCUAACAACUGUGCCAGUCUUCCUCUAUUUUGUAUGUGGGAUGCCUCCGCAGCAUGGCUGAUGAGUGGAGUAGGUCCCCACCCGAGAUCUGAACCUGUGAACCCAGGCCGCCAAAGCACAGGGCAUGGAACUUUAACCACUUGGCCGUGGAGCCUGUCCCCCUGAUUUAUUUUUAAAGAACUCAUUCUCUGUUAUGAUCAUCACUUUCAUUUACUUCGUGUUCAGAAAGCUUUUCCUCAUCUAGGCUUUAGUUAAAUAUACACCAAUGUUUUCUUCUAGAUACUUUGGGUUCAUUUCUUUUACAUUUAAUACACUGGGAUUUUAUUCUGGUGUAUGGUGUGAGGAAGGGACCAAAUCUGAUCCCCCUUUCCCCCAUAACAGCCACAUUUUCCAAUUUCACUUUUAGAUGAUUCGAUGACUAACCACUGCUUUCUGGUGAUUCCUUUCUCAGAUUCAAGUUUUAAAAAUAUAUAUAACAGAUUUCAGGACUGUCUGCUUCUACUUCAUUGGUCCACAGAGUCUUGACCCAGCACCACCCUAUUUUAAUUACUGUGUCAAUAAUAAUAUAGUUAGAGAUCUCUUAGGGAAACCACUUCCUUGAUACUCUUUAAGUGACUCAGCUAUUUACGUCUUUUUUUUUCCUUCCAAAUAAACUUUAAAAUCUUUCAUUGAGUUCAAAAAUAAAAUCCCACUGGGAUUUAAUUAGGAUUGCAUUUCUCCUAAAAUUAGUUUGGCAAGGAUUAACAGCAUUACCAUAUCUAAUAUUUCAAUUCAAGAUUGUAUCUUUCCAUUAGCUUUUCUCUUUUAUAAAUCUCUGUAAAAAGUUUGUGUUUUUAAUAUAGGUCUUGGACAUUUCUCAUUAGCAUUGCUUCUAAAUUUUUUCAAUACCCUGUGAAUGCAAUUCUCCUUCUAUAUUUUCUGCUUGUUGUUGGAAUACAGGAAGGGUAUUGAUUUGGGAGAUUUUUUUGUAUAUUUAUCUUGUAUCUUUCCUCUUCGUAAUGUCCUAUUAAUACUAAAAAUGUUCCAACUGAUGCUCUUCUAUUGUCUUGGUGCAUAGCCAUGUUACAGUCUAUAGAUAUCAAACAUUUUGUUUUCUCCUUUUGAACAGUUUAUGGCUAUUGUAGAGUUUGAAAACAAGUUGGCAUGUUGUCCUCUUGCCUCAUGUUGAGUUUUUAAGUUAUGGAGUUGAAUUUAUCUUGAAAUUCCAGGUAACUUUAAAGGACAGUGUGUGAUUUUUGGGUUUAUUGAAAUGAGGACUGCAUUUAGGAAGCCUGAACAAUGUAGUUUUGGAGUGCCGAAUGAACAGGGUGUCCUGCGUUUCAGCAUAGUCGCCAUACUUUUCUCAACUGAAUGAGUAGUUCGUCCCUCAUGAGUCCCAGGAGUAAGGUUCCUCCACGAUGCUGGUUAAGAGCUUUAAUAGGGAGCACAGCCAGAGUAGGACUGAGAUCUUCUAGGAAAGCUGAGAAUCCUAACAAAGCCAGGGGUUGGAAGAGUGUGGGUUGAGAAAGCACACUCAGGUCAGCGGAAACCAUAUUUCUCCACAAACAAGCCUGCCAACAAAAAGCACCCCCAAACAAACCCUUUUGAAACUUUUCAGAGUCCUAGUAAUUGUGCCUUUCUAUCAGAAGUUCUAAGAGACAUUUCCCAACUGUUGGUUCAUGAAUUCUGAGAGGCACGUGGAAGAAUUAAAGAAGUAAACAUCUUAUUUUAAAAAUCUAUAAGUAUUUUUAAACAAUUUAAAGCAAAAUGUGGGUGCUCUGUGCGUGUACUGAUUGCAUCUGUGGGGUAGUUCGAGGAGAUUCUCUGAGCAUCUUCGGGACUCAGUUGCUUGAGUGGCUUAGCUCUCAGUUGACCACUGCCAGCUGCCAUGAUGCUCUCUGACCACCAAGCAGUUUUAACUCUUUCCCUUAGUCCUCCGUUAUUUGCUUUAGACCCACAAUGGACUUGUUAGUUAAAAAUUAGGAAGCAUAAGGAGUCCUGAUGUUGAAUUACAAGUUAACAGGGAGCUCCAACACGAAAAUAAUUCCACAGAUGUGCUGUAAGAUAACCCUUGCCCAAUCUCUAAGUUGCAUUCAUCUCAUCAAAAUCCUCAGUUUGAAGAACAUUUUGAGGUACUCUUACAUCAAGAGGUCUCUGCUACCUCAAAAACCAGUGUUCAAAAGGAGAAUGUACAUGCAUUUUGGGGAGGCAGGAAUAAAAGCUUUCCCUUGCUGCAUUAUGUUAUAUGUGGAAGUGUGGAAUAUGCAUGAUUGUUCUCUCAUCAUUUAGAAACAAAACGUAAAAACUAUGAAAAUAUGCCAGUAUUUUUGGUGUGCAAAUUCACACAAUUUAAAAAAUCCUAUCUUUCUACAGCUCUGAUCUAUUUUUGAGGCUGUGACAUGUAGUUAAGUUUCAAUCUAUGUUUAAAUUUUUGAUUCCUCCCAACCAAACGCAGUGUGUGUUUAAGCAUAUUUGUUGACUGUGCUUUUUCUUCUAGCCUGAAUCAUUCUGAGAACAGGUGUAACUUGAUGCCCCCUGAGCCUACCAAUGCAUUUAUGAAAUCGCUAUAAAAUGCUCAAUUAACUUUGAGCAAAGUUGUUUCUUGUAUCCAGGAAAUACAUGUUUUCAAAACGUCACCCCAGUAAAUAAAAUUGUUGACAUGAGGUGUGGGGAUAUUACUCACAUUAUGGGGGCAAAAUUUGUAACAGCUGACUGGAAGUGGGGCCAGUUGUCUAUCAAGGUAUUUCUAAUCAUGGCAAUGAAACCAUGUCAUCUGCACAGAGGAGAGCUCACCCACCCCUCCCCCUCCAUGGUGGGGGACUUGUAUCUGGUUCACUUAAAAGUGGUUCCAGGUCACUAACAUAUAUGAGCGGCUAUCAGACUACAUUCCUAUGUACCUCUACUGGAAAUUCUUAUCUGAUAGAUGACAGUUUCCAUAUGCCUCGUUUUGAUGCUAAAGUACAGACUUCCUACAGGCAUCAGUACAGGGAUCUAAACUGGCUUUAUUUAGCAUAUUUCAAGGGAUUUCCUAUCAACGGAGCCCAAACUCAAUACAAGCUACAGCCUUACGUUAUUCCUAAAAGAUUUCUCCUUGGGAUGAUAAACAGCAAGCCAAUGUGUCUCUGGACCACUACGCUUAAAUCCUUGUGUCUGUGUACAACAUUAGCCAAGGACAGCUAUAUCCAGAUUUAAUCAAGAAAGGAAUGUUUAUUAAAACUUAAAAAAAUUAAGAAUUAUGAAAGUAACUGUUUACUGUAAGAAUGUCAAAUAAUUUGAAACUUCACAUAAUAAAAAGUGAACGCUCUAAUUUGUCUGCUCCCCAUCCUUUCCUCUCCCCAGUUAAACUCGCCUCCUUGGAUCUGAUGGACAGAUUCUGGUCCUCCAUCAAGGAUUUAUUUUAUCUGAGAUUUUAUUUAUGGCAAAGAGAAAUUUGUAAUAAUAAUUUGAUAAGAUUGGAUGUGGUCUUUGACCAGGAAGAAUUUUUUUGUUUUCUGGCUGGGGCUGGUACUCAACAGAGAUAGGCAACAAGGUGGUGGCUUCCGUCUGUUUGGCCUAGGGCCCCUGAAGGGGCUGUUGAGGAUGUCUCGUUCCCGUCACUGGAAGCCCCAGUAACCAGUCAAAUCCUAAAGGCUUCUUCUGUCUGGAGUCCCACAUGCAAGUUACCUGCAGGAGAGCUCUUUUAUCUCAAGUUUUGGAAGGAAGUUGAGAAGAAACCGUUGUCAACCAACUAGUAAGUUGUUAAGAAGUCAUCUUCAGCUGGGACAAGAGGGAAAUAGAAUUUUCUAGAGCCCCUUUCUCCACUUUAACCUGCACUGUCCUCAUAUCCCCUGGGCAUUUUCCUCCUGGCACUUAGAAUUGUAGACAUGAACUUGGCGAUUAUUUGACUAAUGUCUGUCUCAUCCCUCUAGACGACUGGUUCUUGAGGGCAGACAGCCUGCCUGUGCUCAUUGCUUUAUCCUCGUGAAGGCACAGGAGGUCGAAGUGUCUACGUAAGAUUUUGGGGCUGUAAUGCCCUGUCAGUCUCCAGGAACACGUCUAGGGGAAUUGUGAUAUUCCAUUGGAGAGAUGCAUACGUCGACAACACUAAUGCCAAGAUUGGACUGGAAGAAACCUGGGCUGAGAUGAAUUGACCAGGGAGAAAUGAAGAGAGGAAAUAAAAGUCUGGAAGUGGCUCCUUGUGUUCUUGAGGGAAAAAGGAAAAGUCUUGUACCCAUUGACAGGGAAUACCAACACAGCCCCAGCCCUAGAGUGGCCUGAGCGGAAGUCGCUGUUCCGGUGUGGAGCAAUGGGAGUGGCCACCCGGGCUUCUGGGGCAGGCUGAGGGCUGGGCGACCUGGCUGCAGGUCAGCGGAGAGCUGGUGGGGCUGGAAAUAGCAUCAUGAACACAACAAAUACCAUCUGUUUAAGGGGAGGGAACGUCAAAUCGGUGCAGAGCAACCAUCACCACCCAGAGAGGAAUUAAGGAAAGAAUGAGAGUGCACAUAGGGGUGAGCAGCUGGGAGCUUUCGGCCGGGGUGGCAAAGGCCCCUUGUCUGCUCCCAGUCCGCCUACCCAGGGGGUGGUGGCCAUGGCAGUGUGAGGAGGGCCGGAAAACUGCAGAUUUCUUUUGACAA
ensembl:lncRNA